rnacentral:rRNA from 1 species
AUAUAACUAAGCGGAGGAAAAGAAACUAACAAGGAUUCCCCUAGUAACGGCGAGUGAAGCGGGAAGAGCUCAAUCUUAAAAUCUCCAUGUUCUUGAUUGAAUAUGGCGAAUUGUAGUCUAUAGAAGCUGUUGUCAGCAAUGUUGUGUGGGUCAAGUUCCUUGGAAGAGGACAGCAUAGAGGGUGAUACUCCCGUCUUUACCUGUAUAACGUUGCGUACGAUACGCUUUCUUUGAGUCGAGUUGCUUGGGAAUGCAGCUCAAAGUAGGUGGUAAAUUCCAUCUAAAGCUAAAUAUAGGUGCGAGACCGAUAGCGAACAAGUACCGUGAGG